AUUGACGUUUGUAAUAUGUUUCGGACUCCUUACGCGCUACAGCAGCGCAGCGUUUGAGGGCAUUGCUGUUCUCGUUAUACCACCCUCUGCUAGUGGGCGAAUUGCACUGGCACAGCCUUUCUCCAAAGGAGCUGGCCCGAUGCUCCCUCUCCGACGGGCUGGUGUCCUGCUGCUGACUUCUGAACGGGUUUCUGGACACAAGCCGUAACGCCCCGGUGGUUCAGGUCUGCUCCAGUGUAGCUGAGAGGAGGGGACACAAAACCUGCGUGACCGGGGCUGCCGGCCAAACUCCCUGCUUGCGGCACACCUCUGAAAACACGCAGGGGUGUUUUCAGUGCUGUGGGGCACCCAAAGACAAGCUGGGGGAAGAACCUAAGCAAAUGGAGGAUUUGCAUCUCCCCAUGGAGAACGUGGGGUGAUGACAGAGACCUGACGUGUCCCAACGGCUUAAGGCUGGCUCAUGGUCUGCGCUGUGAUCAGCCCAAACAGCGCAAGUCAGAGCGGUAAGCGGCACCACAUCUGGUGUCCUUAAUCAAGAUGAUCCAGCACCCCUUUUCCACCUCCGCAACUGCCAUUACUGUUUCACAUUAAUGCAGUGCCACACAUCUUUUCACCUGCCUAGAGCCUUUAACACACAAAGCACAGAAAAUAAAAACCCGAUGUAUCUCAUCCUAACCACAGUGGUAAGCAGAUUCUCAUCAUUUACAUGGUAUUUUUUCAGCAAAAAAAUAUUUCUUUGGGGGAGAGGUACAGGAACCUAUUGAUCUACUGACUUCAAUGGCAAAUAAUCUGACUGAUCACACUCAACUUGCCAAAUGUUUCUCUGUUGCUGACUACCCUACUUUUUCAAUAGCUUAGCAGCCCGGGCUCCUGAUGGGGGAUUUAUUCAAGAAAUGUGCAAUGUUUCUAAGUAGUGUUUUCUCUUGCAACCGCCCAUCUUGACGAUGAGAAAUUCCAUGCUCAUUAGCGACUCUGGCUCCACAGUGUACUAAAUAUAUGAUUUGUCUACUUUAAGAAGGUUUGGUGCUUUUGACUGGAGCUGCAAAAAAAAAUUGGCUGAAACACAGAACUGACUAAAGUUCACUCAAGUAAAAGUCUGAUGAUCAUAAAGGAGGAGAAGGUAAAUUUUGCCUGGAUUGAGUUUCAGCUUGGAAGAAAGGCAAAUAGAAAACAUGCAUAGGCUUGAAGAAUAAUUCCAUAAACUAAGAAAAGCUACCUUAUCAGAUAAGCUUUCGCAUUAAUUUUUUUAUCCAGUCUCAUUCAAAAGAAGUUCAUUUU